UGGGGAAUAUUGGACAAUGGGGGAAACCCUGAUCCAGCAAUGCCGCGUGAGUGAAGAAGGCCUUAGGGUUGUAAAGCUCUUUCGCCCGCGAAGAUAAUGACGGUAGCGGGAGAAGAAGCCCCGGCUAACUCCGUGCCAGCAGCCGCGGUAAUACGGAGGGGGCUAGCGUUGUUCGGAAUUACUGGGCGUAAAGCGUACGUAGGCGGAUGCGCAAGUUGGGGGUGAAAUCCCGGGGCUUAACCUCGGAAUUGCCCUCAAAACUGCACGUCUUGAGACCGAGAGAGGUAAGGGGAAUUCCUAGUGUAGAGGUGAAAUUCGUAGAUAUUAGUAAGAACACCAGUGGCGAAGGCGCCUUACUGGCUCGGUACUGACGCUGAGGUACGAAAGCGUGG
rnacentral:rRNA from 1 species